rnacentral:rRNA from 1 species
GAUGAACGCUGGCGGCGUGCCUAAUACAUGCAAGUCGAGCGAACGGACGAGAAGCUUGCUUUUCUGAUGUUAGCGGCGGACGGGUGAGUAACACGUGGAUAACCUACCUAUAAGACUGGGAUAACUUCGGGAAACCGGAGCUAAUACCGGAUAAUAUUUUGAACCGCAUGGUUCAAAAGUGAAAGACGGUCCUGCUGUCACUUAUAGAUGGAUCCGCGCUGCAUUAGCUAGUUGGUAAGGUAACGGCUUACCAAGGCAACGAUGCAUAGCCGACCUGAGAGGGUGAUCGGCCACACUGGAACUGAGACACGGUCCAGACUCCUACGGGAGGCAGCAGUAGGGAAUCUUCCGCAAUGGGCGAAAGCCUGACGGAGCAACGCCGCGUGAGUGAUGAAGGUCUUCGGAUCGUAAAACUCUGUUAUUAGGGAAGAACUUAUGUGUAAGUAACUGUGCACAUCUUGACGGUACCUAAUCAGAAAGCCACGGCUAACUACGUG